rnacentral:lncRNA from 1 species
CCUGUUUUCACUUGCGUCUCUCCGCCAAUGCCAAUAAUAGAUCCCCCCAGGAAGAACAGCCUCCAGCGACCUGAAACUACAUUUCCCAUGAGGACAAGGGAUUGGGCCUUCUGCUUUCCCGGUGACCUGUAACCAAUAGGAGAUGUUGUAGCUGCCGCGUUGUGGGCGAGAGUACAGCCCUGGGCCGGAGUCCCGGGCCUAAGGCGGCUGGCGAGAGGCGGGGAGUUCAGAAGACAGUUGCGUGGCGUGGGGCGCCGCGAGGGCACUACGCUCUCAGAAGCUGUCACGCCGGCCCGAUUUUCCGCGGCACUAUAAGGAGUAGCCGUUCGGUAGCCGGGGAGCUGGAGGGGAACCUGAUUUGAGAUCAUUUCUUGGAGAACACAGAGAAGUGUGGUGGUAUGUUCCAGGUGUGAGUUUAAUUUAAACCCAAGAACUUUGUUUUAUAGACUGUCCUGUUUGUGGCUGUUCUUAGCUCCAUAGAGUGGAGUUGUCAUUUUAAGGCCUGGUGACAAAUUUUUAAAAAAUAUAUUUGCUGUCCUUAUGCAUCAUAUUAUCUGAAUUGUAGUCAUUUCAUUGGGUGACAAUAAUGACUCCUAUUAAUUGAGCAGAUAUAAUGUUCCAGGCACUAUCAUAAGCACUUUGUAGCAUUA